GGAUAACCUGCCCUUAGGUCUGGCAUAACCCCGGGAAACUGGGGGUAAUUCCGGAUAGAUCAUCGAUGCUGGAAUGCGCUUUGAUCCAAAGCUAUUGCGCCUAAGGAUGGGUCUGCGGUCUAUCAGGUUGUAGUGGGUGUAAUGUACCUACUAGCCUACGACGGAUACGGGUUGUGGGAGCAAGAGCCCGGAGAUGGAUUCUGAGACAUGAAUCCAGGCCCUACGGGGCGCAGCAGGCGCGAAAACUUUACAAUGCGGGGAACCGCGAUAAGGGGACACCGAGUGCCAGCAUCCUAUGUUGACUGUCCAUAUGUCUAAAUCACAUGUGUUAGCAAGGGCCGGGCAAGACCGGUGCCAGCCGCCGCGGUAACACCGGCGGCCCGAGUGGUGGCCACUAUUAUUGGGUCUAAAGGGUCCGUAGCCGGUUUGGUCAGUCUUCCGGGAAAUCUGACGGCUCAACCGUUAGGCUUUCGGGGGAUACUACCAGGCUUGGGACCGGGAGAGGUAAGAGGUACUACGGGGGUAGGAGUGAAAUCUUGUAAUCCCUGUGGGACCACCAGUGGCGAAGGCGUCUUACCAGAACGGGUCCGACGGUGAGGGACGAAAGCUGGGGGCACGAACCGGAUUAGAUACCCGAGUAGUCCUAGCC
rnacentral:rRNA from 1 species